rnacentral:misc_RNA from 1 species
GAUGAAGAACGCAGCAAAAUGCGAUAAGUAAUGUGAAUUGCAGAAUUCAGUGAAUCAUCGAAUCUUUGAACGCACAUUGCGCCCGCUGGUAUUCCGGCGGGCAUGCCUGUUCGAGCGUCAUUUCAACCCUCAAGCCCCCCGGGUUUGGUGUUGGGGAUCAGCUCUGCCUCACGGCGGUGCCGCCCCCGAAAUACAUUGGCGGUCUCGCUGCAGCCUCCAUUGCGUAGUAGCUAACACCUCGCAACUGGAACGCGGCGCGGCCAUGCCGUAAAACCCCAACUUCUGAAUGUUGACCUCGGAUCAGGUAGGAAUACCCGCUGAACUUAAGCAUAUCAAUAAGCGGAGGA